rfam:Vicugna pacos cont1.522117, whole genome shotgun sequence.
CGCGAGAGAGGCUGGCUCCCCCCAGUUGCGCGCCCCACCCAGGACGCGCGAGGCUGCCACUGCGGCUGCGCGAACUCGGCGCGCGCUCGCCCGUGCCCUGCGCGGGCUCCUCCCUCCAGUCAAGUUGUCUCGCGGCGUCUGAGCAGCCUGCGCUCUGUG